GAUGAACGCUGGCGGCGUGCCUAAUACAUGCAAGUCGAGCGAACAGACGAGGAGCUUGCUCCUCUGACGUUAGCGGCGGACGGGUGAGUAACACGUGGAUAACCUACCUAUAAGACUGGGAUAACUUCGGGAAACCGGAGCUAAUACCGGAUAUUAUAUUGAACCUCAUGGUUCAAUAGUGAAAGACGGUUUUGCUGUCCCUUAUAGAUGGAUCCUCGCCGCAUGAGCUAGUUGGUAAGGUAACGGCUUACCAAGGCAACGAUGCGUAACCGGCCUGAGAGGGUGAUCGGCCACACUGGAACUGAGACAAGGUCCAGAAUCCUACGGGAGGCAGCAGUAGGGAAUAUUGUGCAAUGGGCGAAAGCCUGACGAAGCAAAGCCGCGUGAGUGAAGAAGGUCUUCGGAUCGUAAAGCACUGUUAGUAGGGAAGAAGAGAAGUAUAAGAAAAUAUGCACGUCUUGACGGUACCAACACAGAAAGCAACGGCUAACUACGUG
rnacentral:rRNA from 1 species